CCUACGGGUGGCUGCAGUGAGGAAUAUUGGUCAAUGGGCGCGAGCCUGAACCAGCCAAGUCGCGUGAGGGAAGACGGUCCUAUGGAUUGUAAACUUCUUUUGUCGGGGAGCAAAAGACGCCACGCGUGGCGUUCCGAGAGUACCCGAAGAAAAAGCAUCGGCUAACUCCGUGCCAGCAGCCGCGGUAAUAGGGAGGAUGCGAGCGUUAUCCGGAUUUAUUGGGUUUAAAGGGUGCGCAGGCGGUAGAUCAAGUUAGCGGUAAAAUUGCGGGGCUCAACUUCUUCGAGCCGUUGAAUAUGGUUUGCUUGAGUGAGAGAGAGGUGAGCGGAAAGCGAGGUGGAGCGGGGAAAUGGA
rnacentral:rRNA from 1 species